GCCGGGGUACCCAAGCUAGGUAAGAUAUGCGUGAUUCCCUAAAAGGGGUCAGCCUCGAGAGCUGAUGUUCGCAAGAACUCGUGGGUUCGAGUCCCACUCCCGGCG
rnacentral:tRNA from 1 species